CAGUCGCCGCGGGAAUACGGAGGGGGCUAGCGUUGUUCGGAAUUACUGGGCGUAAAGCGCACGUAGGCGGCUUUACAAGUCAGAGGUGAAAGCCUGGUGCUCAACACCAGAAUUGCCUUUGAGACUGUAUCGCUUGAACGUCGGAGAGGUGAGUGGAAUUCCGAGUGUAGAGGUGAAAUUCGUAGAUAUUCGGAAGAACACCAGUGGCGAAGGCGGCCAUCUGGGACAACACUGACGCUGAGGCACGAAAGCGUGGGGAGCAAACAGGAUUAGAUACCCCCUGUAGUCCCUGUCUCUUAUU
rnacentral:rRNA from 1 species